GACCCGUUUCGAGGUUUAUCCACAAUCAAUUUACACGUUUCCCUCUCACAUUUUCUCACAUUUUCCCAUCCCAGACAGCCUGACUAGUCACUCCCACUCAUGACCACCACCACUCUCCUCCUUUCUCCACCAUUCUUCGCUCCCAAACCCCUCUCUUUCACCACCACCACAACAAAAACCACAGCAUUCUUUCCUUCUGCCGCUCAUUUGCCCUCCAUCUCUUUUCCUUCCCCUAAACCCUACAAAAGCCCCUUCGUCGUACGCGCCGACGAGGGCGAUGCGGACGGCGGCGGUCCCGACGACUACGACAUGGACGAGGAAGAGGUGGAGGAGCUGGACAACAAGAAGGACUACGACGUGGAGUACGACCCGCUAGCUGCUUCUGCUAGUGGCACCGGUGACGACGACAUUACGAUGGUUGAUAGCAAGAGCUUUGUGUAUACGCAAGGCUGGGACUCCGAGAUGGUGGUGGAUUAUAGAAUUGACGAGGAGGAGUUUCAUAAAAUCAGUUUGAUGGAAUGUGAUUUCUUUAUUAGGAAACCUCCGGAUCCUGAUAAUGAUGUCUACGAUUUCAGAGAGAUGUAUGUUACUCCCCCGGAUACUGAUAUUUAUGCGAUACCAAAGGUUCUUGCUCCAAUGCCGCAAAAGUACAUUCGCUGUGCAAAGAGUGAUUAUGGGUGCUACAAUGUCACAGAACCACCCAUUGACGCACCUCGAGAUCCAAUGUACAAAUCUGAGAGGGAGAUUCAUAAGGUAUUCCUGACAAAGCAUUUCAGAAACAGGAGGUUGGGUGACCCAGAGUUUGUGCUAGAUUUUGAGGAAAUUUAUGUUAUCGAUUCUAAAACAAAGUCGAUUACCAGAGCUAAAGUUUUGGUCACAGUUCCAAGAAGCAGAGAUAGAAAGAGUGAUUUACUUGUAAUUCGUGAUAAUGGGAACUCCUUCAAAAUUAUUCAUGCAAGCGAAAAAGAUGAUCCUACCACUGUGAUAGAGAGAGAAGAGUGGGUCAAGACCAGGCAAGACAUGGAGAGACAUCUAAGAAAGCUGCGGGAUUUCAGCACUUCAAAUUGGUUCUGAUCAACCUGCAGAACUAUGUUAUCUUUUCAUGGAGAUAAAUAUGCAACAGAAUGCAGAGUGGUUGAAGGUGGGCAGUCGCUCAAACACUUAAGAUUUGACUGGAGACCUUAGCAAUCGUGGGCUAUAAAAUUCUGUUGAUUCCGAAAAUUUUUGUAAGUUUCUUAAGAGGAGUGUAGGCAUAUUCUGUCUUCCAUUUUGUUUGUGGAAGGUGCUUUACCUUGUAAAUUAUUGUGUUGUAUGCUAUGGCUUGUAGAUUCUUACAUUGUUAAUGGCGUACAACAAAGUCGGCUGCUCACAAAGUUGCAUGCUCCUCUAGAUGUUCUU